AUGACGUGUUUGUAAAUGAAGAUCAGCGCAGACAAAGGCUGCAGACAGCACAUCUUGUUUGUUAUCUUUAGAAGUGCACAAAGUUUUGUUGUUAUUAUGUCUGUAUCCAAAAAAAGGAAACCCUUUACUGGGUUACAGUCCGCUUGCUGACUGAGCUGGGAUGUUUGCAAGAAGGUCAGGCAGCAGUGUUGCACACAAACUGAGCAGGAGUUGGUCUGUUCUUGUAGUCGUGGCCGUACCUUCCGGCGAUCGGACUGCUGAACACUUCCUAACACUUCCUAACACAUUUUGAAUAAGUCCUAACACUUCCGAACUAAUUCCUAACACAAGUACGAACAUCACGUGGUCUAUGUCCUAACAACUCCUAACCAUCUCCUAACAGGUCCGAACGGGGCAAAACAGCCAUUGGUCGAGCGGAGCAAUACAGCCAUUGGCCGAAACAUAGUCACGUGCGAAACCACAUGAUUACAGUCAAAAAAGCGGAAGCGCGCGAAUGAUUAGUUUAUUAAUUUUAAGGCGAAUUCAUUAUUAUUUAAACACGGAGCACGGAGCAUAUUUUUAUUCAGUUUGAUGUUUUCAGAUAACGUGGAGAUCUUCAACAGAUCACUGGAACUGUCCAUAGUCCCUGGCUGCUUCAAAUGCUCCACCAUCAUCCCUGGCCCAAAGAAACCCAAGAUAACAGGACAUAAUGACUGCAGACCCUUGCUGGAUCCACUGCUCUUCUCCCUCUACACUAGGGAUGCACUAUAAAUCACAUGUGAUUUUCAUGCACAUCUCGUCAGUAAAGCCGGUGUUGUUGAUUAGUAGUAAAUCUCCAUCAUGUGCUUUCAGAUGGAGCAGCAUUUACUACACAGAGCCGUAGUUCACUGACAAGCUAUACAAUAUCACAUUCAUAAUCGCAGACAAUUUGUCUGAACAUCAACAGAACCGGCUCUACUGAUGAGAUGCGCAUAACAAUCACAUGCGAGUUAUCGUGCUGCCCUACUCUACACCAAUGACUGCACCUCUACAGACCUGAGGUCUUCGGACUGUCGAGAGGAUUACUGGUGCUUCCCUACCCACCUUUCAAGAACGGUACACAUCCAGAGUGAGGAAAAGUGCUUAGGAAAUCACUCUGGAUCCUUUUUGAACUUUUGACAUCCGGUCGGCGAUACAGUGCAUGGAAUACGAGAGAAACAAGAAGUUUCUUUUCCCAGAAAAUCUGCCUAAGAAAAUCUGCCUAAUGAACAGUUAAAAGUCCCCCCCCCCCCCCAUCGUGCAAUAAAAA